rnacentral:ncRNA from 2 species
AACUUAUCAAGAGUGACGGAGGGAUCUGGCCCUGUGAAGUCCGGCAACCUGCCAUUUAACAUGGUAAGGUGCUAAGUCCAGCAAAAUGGGAUCCAUUUUGGGAGAUAAGGU